ACAAUGGGUGGCGGAGCUCCAUCCCAGGGAGCGUGUUGAUGCCUUUCAAAGAGGGACUGGCUGAGCUCACAUGCCACAAGCCUUUCAGAGGAGAGUUUAAAUCAAGUGAAUUGAACGCAGUUUUGAAAUGGAAAUCAGCGAGCCCAGUUUGGUGCGGGCUUCUUGUCAAUAGGAAGCCAGAGGCUCCGACUGCCAGUCUGGUUUUCUCCUACUCUCAUUCAAAAGAAGCAGACCCUGAGCCGGGAGAGAGACAGCAAGUUAGAGAGGAGACAAGAUGGACCCAAGACAGACGAAUAGACAGAGGCCCCAAGGACGGUGUAAGGGGGAAUUUGCUGCCUCUCUCAGGCAAUAGGAAGGAUUAGGGGCUUCAGCCUUGGAACCCUUGAGAAAAACAUACAUUUCCUCCCCUACACCACUGUGCCAACGCCUGAGGGCAGUUUCCUACCAGAGGAAGGAGCAAUGCCCGAAGAACUUGACCCG